rnacentral:snRNA from 1 species
UUAACAGCCUGCCCACCCUGGA